rnacentral:rRNA from 1 species
GCAAGAUUAAAACUCAAAGGAAUAGACGGGGACCCGCACAAGUGGUGGAGCAUGUGGUUUAAUUCGAAGAUACGCGAAGAACCUUACCUAGCCUUGACAUUGAUUGAACGGACCAGAGAUGGACCGGUGCCCUUCGGGGAACAUGAAAACAGGUGCUGCACGGCUGUCGUCAGCUCGUGUCGUGAGAUGUUGGGUUAAGUCCCGCAACGAGCGCAACCCUCGUCCUUAGUUGCCAGCAGGUUAAGCUGGGCACUCUAAGGAGACUGCCUUCGUAAGGAGGAGGAAGGUGAGGACGACGUCAAGUCAUCAUGGCCCUUAUGGCUAGGGCUACACACGUGCUACAAUGGGGCGUACAGAGAGUUGCGAUACCGCGAGGUGGAGCCAAUCUCAUAAAGCGUCUCUCAGUUCGGAUUGAAGUCUGCAACUCGACUUCAUGAAGCUGGAAUCACUAGUAAUCGUAGAUCAGCAAUGCUACGGUGAAUACGUUCCCGGGUCUUGUACUCACCGCCCGUCACACCAUGGGAGUUGAUUUCACCCGAAAUUGGGAAGCUAACCUUCGGGAGGCUACCACUUACGGUGGAAUUAGCGACUGGGGUGAAGUCGUAACAAGGUA